rnacentral:rRNA from 1 species
GUCCACACCGUAAACGAUGGAUACUAGGUGUCGGGACUUGAUCUUCGGUGCCGUAGCUAACGCGUUAAGUAUCCCGCCUGGGAGUACGGUCGCAAGGCUGAAACUCAAAGAAAUUGACGGGGCCCGCACAAGCGGUGGAGUAUGUGGUUUAAUUCGAUGCAACGCGAAGAACCUUACCUAGGCUUGACAUCCUGGUAAUCCUGCAGAGAUGCGGGAGUGCCCUUGGGGAAUCCAGAGACAGGUGCUGCAUGGCUGUCGU